rnacentral:rRNA from 1 species
GUGGGGAAUAUUGGACAAUGGGCGAAAGCCUGAUCCAGCCAUGCCGCGUGUGUGAAGAAGGUCUUCGGAUUGUAAAGCACUUUAAGUUGGGAGGAAGGGCAGUAAGUUAAUACCUUGCUGUUUUGACGUUACCGACAGAAUAAGCACCGGCUAACUUCGUGCCAGCAGCCGCGGUAAUACGAAGGGUGCAAGCGUUAAUCGGAAUGACUGGGCGUAAAGCGCGCGUAGGUGGUUCGUUAAGUUGGAUGUGAAAGCCCCGGGCUCAACCUGGGAACUGCAUCCAAAACUGGCGAGCUAGAGUACGGUAGAGGGUGGUGGAAUUUCCUGUGUAGCGGUGAAAUGCGUAGAUAUAGGAAGGAACACCAGUGGCGAAGGCGACCACCUGGACUGAUACUGACACUGAGGUGCGAAAGCGUGGGGAGCAAACAGGAUUAGAAACCCGGGUAGUCC